UACGAAGGGGGCUAGCGUUGCUCGGAAUCACUGGGCGUAAAGCGCACGUAGGCGGAUUGUUAAGUCAGGGGUGAAAUCCUGGAGCUCAACUCCAGAACUGCCUUUGAUACUGGCGAUCUUGAGUCCGGGAGAGGUGAGUGGAACUGCGAGUGUAGAGGUGAAAUUCGUAGAUAUUCGCAAGAACACCAGUGGCGAAGGCGGCUCACUGGCCCGGUACUGACGCUGAGACGCGAAAAGCGUGGGGAGCGAACAGG
rnacentral:rRNA from 1 species